CACUGUUCGCGUAUUGCGGCGCGGCGCAUGCGAGUCGUCCCGCAUAUGUCGACGGGUGCAACGCGGCGCGUGGCGGUCGUCCCCGGUCAUCCCGCGUGCAUCCACGAAAUCCUCGACUCCCAGUCCCAAGCUCUUCUCCCCGCUCCCCCUCCUCGGAUCUAACCACUCCGCCCCUGUCCUGGUGCUUUCUCUAUCGGCGAGUUCAAGGGAACAUCGGCCGACGAUGGGGAAGAAAUGCCCCCCUUCUCUGUAUAAAACGCGUGCUCCGGCGGCCAAGACACGCGCGCCACAGGGAGUGGGGAGCCAUGGAGGCGGAUCUCGAGGAGGCCGAGCAGGGCAAGGAUGCGGUGGCCAGGCUCACCUACGAGAUCUUCUCCAUCCUUGAGAUCAAGUUCCUCUUCGGCCGCGACGUCCCCGAGCACUUCCCCUCCGUCGUCGGGCCCACGCAUGCGUCGGCGGCCGCAGCCAAGGUGUGCGUCCUCUCCAUUGACGGCGGCUGGCGCAACACUUGUGCGGCUCGAGGCCGUGCUACGGCAGCACGCGGGCAGCCAGGCCACGCGGCUCGCCGACUAUCUCCAUCGACGACAGUGCGCGCCCGGUCGACGGGCUCCUCGCCGGCUCAGCACUCGUGCGGCUCGAGGCUGUGCUGCGACGGUGCGCGGGUAGCCAGGAGCCAUCCUCCUCAACUCGACCGACCGCGACGAGGUCGCCUACCACCGCCGAAUCCCCGACGAGGUCACCCUCCUUUGAUGAACAGGAAGGUAUCCACGAACAGUCCUUCGUCUUCGUCAGGUGUGGGGUCCGCGACCACUCUGUUGCCUUCCAAUCCUCCGAUCGAUGAUACGCCACCACCGGCUCAAGUGCGUAGCCGUCCAGGCAACCACCAAAUGGAUCCACAAGACCCACACGCGCCGCGGGUGUCCGACGUGGGCACCCAUGUGAAGGAAAGGAUGGUAGUUCCAUCGAUGGCAGGGAGGGCAAAGAGAAGCCGGAGACCAUCGCCCGCUCCCAUGCGCCUGCUGCUUCACCACCCCGGCCUCGGCAUGGCUGUCCUUCCCAUCAGCGUCGAUGAGAUCUUCGCCUUCCCCUAUUCAUCUUUUUUUCCCCUUAAUUUCUUCCAUGCUUCUUGAUGUGUUGCUACACCAGGAAACAAUAAGAUGAUUGUGACACAAAUGUUCCUUGCGAUUCUUACAAUUUCUUAAACAUGGUUUGCUUCCUGUGAUGUGCCAAAUCAACAAAGGAAUCAACGAAUCGAAAACUCUGUCUGGUGGCUAUUUUGGUAAGAUUCCCCAUCCGUUUGGUCCUUUCCUUCUUCUCCUCAAUCUGAUUGCAAAAAAAUAUUCACAACUAUAUGCUUCUUAGUAGCAAAUUUUUGUGCUGCGUCAUCGAAUACUAAACUAAUCCGUCCAUCCACGGCUCUGUUUUGGAGAUGAGUCUUUUGUGAGAUAUAGUGUGAAUCCCCGUGCUUCUAUCCUUGAUGUUUCUUGUGCCAAACCUGCAACAAUCGUAUCUCUGUCCAUGUGGAUUGCAAAAGGCACUCGCUCUUCAUCUCUCUUUGUUCCUGCAGUUAUUCAUGCUAUCCAUCUUUGCCUCUGCGUGUAUAUUUCUCACUGUAUUUUUAUGAGCACAGAUUUAACACAAAUUUGAUCUAAAGGUAAUGCAUGGGCUCUAUGAUUUCUCUGUUAUGUUCACCUGAUUUGAUUUCGUGAAACAUCUGUUUAAGAAGCAUUUGUGUAAGUCGCAAUCAUCAUUGGAUAUUUCAUUUACUCACCUGUUUGCUGAGCAGAAGAAUAUAAUUGUUCCUUCUCUGAGUUGCAUCUUACUAUUUCUCACCAUCUCAAAGUCCUGUUUUCUAUUGAUCCAGAUACAUCAUUGCAUGGAGCAUGAUUCAUGUUGCUGAACAGAAGGCUAAAUUGGAGAAGCUUGCAAAACAGUUGUUGCAUUCUGCAUACGUGGAGGUUCUUCCAUACUUCCGAGAUAAAUUGACAGAGAAAAUGGCCUUGAUGUGCUUACCAAUAUAUCAUCAUUCAGUUUUUUUAAUCACUGCAACAACCACAUACCACCAAGACAUGUUUGCUGGUCAAAAGCCUGACCCUGUAAAUGACAGUUUUUACAGGUCUUCAUCGAUGGUUUCAUUCCUAAUUAUGGCUCUUGAGUGGUCUACUCCAUACAAAUAUGCUUUUCUUUGUGAUGUAUUAUUUGUUUUUCAUUUAUUGAAAUUUAUCAACUGACCAGUAUUGGAGAUCCAUGCUUCCUAAAUGCAACAAAUAACCUCUUCCUUACUCUCAAGGUGACCAUUUGUACUUAGCGCCUUCUGUGUAUUUUUGAGGCAGAGUUGGACUCUUCAUCUUCGGUAUUGCUAGAAUUUGUCUACAUCGCGAACAAACCACUAACUUGUGACUUCAGAUGCAAUAUAUUUUUAUUAUUGUUUAUGCAAAGUUCUAGGGAAAUUUGUAUCCAAACUAUUUGACAAUUAGUGAAUGCUUACUGUCUACUAUAUUGCUUUCUAAAUUGAAAAAAGAUGUUUUAUAUCAGUUGGGCUAUUGGUGGCCACUACAUUUGUUUCAUGAUAGUUCUGUGUAGGUGCUUUUUGCCUACAGGUGAAGUCUGAAGUUUAGUUUUCUUAGCUAUUAAUUCCUACCUAACAGGAAAGGAGUUUACCUACUUUCUGUACAUGAAAGGAGUUACUUUCUAAUUCUUUUUUUUUUGUCCAUUCUCCUUGCCUGUUUAAGCGUUUAUAGUUGCAAAAGGACAAAAUUUUCCAUUUUCCUCGCAUGUUUCUGCUGUGAUAUGACCAAUGCUGCGUACCAAUGAUGUGAUUAGUGUUCUCUUUGAGAUCGGUAUUGAAUUUUCAUUUUUGCCAGCAAUUCUUUGAGCUAUUUUGUAUGAGAUGCUAAAGUUUCAAUACCAUAUUUUUUGCCUUCAGAAUAUUUUUUUUUUAACAGACUAGCUUUAUUUAAGGUAUGCUUGACAUAUCUGUUCGAUCAAAAGAAAUACUUCUCUUCUUAUUUGAACUUAGGAAGCAAGGGUUUUCUUUUUACCCCCCUAACCUCAUUUGUAUCCCAUCUUUUUCUAUAAUUAUGCCUACGAAAGCAUUUGAAGCGAGUACUGCAAAGGGCCACUGCUUCAAGUAACUAUACGAAAUAAAUAAUUCUCUCUAACUCUUUCUCUAAUGCUGCAGCAAAAAUCUACAAGAGUUUAGGCUCUGGUUUGAAGAAUCCUUCUUAACCAUAUGCAGUUUUGCCUUUUCUACUAAAUAUUACAUGAUAAUUCUUAUUCUUUUUUUAGUUAACCAAAAUUUCCUUUUAUUGCUAGGUUGUAAUCGACAUGGUCAGGAGGUAAUUGAAUGUGAGGUCAAGUUCUCCCACAAGGUAAGUUUACAAUGUUCUACUUAGAUAAACUUUGAAGCCUUUCAGCACAAACCUUGGCGAUGACAUGGUGUGGGUCUUGCUGACUGUUUUGAUUUUGGUCUGGAUGGGCAAGCCUGGAGAAAUAGCAGACUUGAGAAAUAAAUUUACUGAAACAAUGGCCUUUACAUGCUUACCAAUAUGUCAUCAUUUAGUUGUUAAAUCAAUGCAAUGACCGAACACAACAAACUACAGCGACAUGUUUGCUAGUCAAAUGCCUAACCCCACAGUUUCAUUACUAUUCUACAGGUAAAAAAUAAUACCGAUACGAUUAUUCAAAAUACGUUUCUAGGUGUCAAUGCAAGCUGACGUUCAGUUGUCCUUUUAAUCUCAUUAGUUGAUUCAUUUCUCAAUUAUUGCCAAAAACAGAUUCAGUUCAGUGAUGCAGUAGGUGGGAAAUUAAUUAGUUAAAGCGAGUUUUUUGUUUAAUGAAUGGUGAUGUUCAAUUCCUUACAUGUUUUAAUGAAGUGAAUAACUCUGUUGCUUUGCCAGAUUUAAAUUAGAAUAUAUGUUUAUGUCAAAAAUAAGUUUCUUUUGAUUAACAGUGUACUAAUUUUUCCACUCACACACUCAAAUAUUGUACAAGGCAUCCCUAUUUGCAAGACAUGGAUUAUAGCGAAGAGCAUCAUAUUGGAGCAACAGUACAAAAUGCGCAAGACAUGGAUUAUAGCGAAGAACAUCAUAUUGGAGCAACAAUACAAAAUGCAAGAAACCCGAUUGUCCGAUGCCCUUUCAAUAUCACAUCAGUGAGGUUAUUCAUCACGUCCAAUAUAGUAGGCAUCCCUCUGUUAAGCAUAGAAUAUUGUAGUGUACAACAUUUUCCUCUUUUAUGUUAUGAACUCCGGUUACGAUGUAAUCAUAUCUAUUGUGAUAUCACUUCUAAUAUGUAUCUGACUGUGGUACGUACAUGCUA